GCUCUACCUCUGAGCUAAGUGGGC
rnacentral:tRNA from 1 species